rnacentral:lncRNA from 1 species
GAGAAAUGUACGAGGAAGAAAGGAAAAAGAUAGAGAAAUAAAUAGAGAUGAAAUGAGCCACCAUAGAAGAAAAAAAAUUGAUUAGAAAAAAAGAAGAGAAAAGAUGGGUUGCCGAUGAGAAAGGACAGAUAUGGAUGGAGGCCUCGUAGAGAGGUAUAACUCAUGCAUAGGUUUGGAGGAGAAAAAGAAUGAAAAGAAAAAGUGAAUAAAAAGAAAAAGGAAGAGGAAAAAGAGGCCACUGAUAAAAAAUAGAUUAGAGGAGGAAGACAAGAAAGAGAAGAGGAUAGAGAGAAUUAAAGGAGAGGAGGAAGGAUAGAUUAUCGGUGAAAAGGAGUGGAGGUAGAGGGAGACCGCCAUGGAAGGGGAUGGUUGAUGGGUGGCUUUGAAAAAAAAGAUAACGAGGAGGAGAAAUAGAUGAAGAGAAAGGAGAAGAGGUGGAAGAAUAGAUGGAGGUAGAGGGAGCCAUCAUGGAGGAGAAAAAAUAGAUGAAGAGGAAGAGGAGAGGAGGAAAGAGAAGGUAGAAAGAGGGACACUAGUAAUGGAGUAGGAGAGGAUCAAUCAGGAAAGGAGAAAAAAAAAGAGAGGAAGAAGUUGAAGAUAAAGAUAUUUUUAUUAUUUUAUAAAAUAAUAAUAUUAUGUGAUUGUCACGUGAUAUCAUUUCAUCAACGGAGAUAGAUGACUGG